rnacentral:rRNA from 1 species
CCUACGGGAGGCAGCAGUAGGGAAUAUUGCUCAAUGGGCGAAACCCUGAAGCAGCAACGCCGCGUGGAGGAUGAAGGUUUUCGGAUUGUAAACUCCUUUUGUUAGAGAAGAUAAUGACGGUAUCUAACGAAUAAGCACCAGCUAACUCCGUGCCAGCAGCCGCGGUAAUACGGAGGGUGCAAGCGUUACUCGGAAUCACUGGGCGGAAAGAGCGCGUAGGCGGGAUAGCAAGUCAGAUGUGAAAUCCUAUGGCUUAACCAUAGAACUGCAUUUGAAACUGUUAUUCUAGAGUAUGGGAGAGGUAGGUGGAAUUCUUGGUGUAGGGGUAAAAUCCGUAGAGAUCAAGAGGAAUACUCAUUGCGAAGGCGACCUGCUAGAACAUAACUGACGCUGAUGCGCGAAAGCGUGGGGAGCAAACAGGAUUAGAUACCCCUGUAGUC